ACUACGGGUGGCAGCAGGGAGGAAUAUUGGGCAAUGGGCGCGAGCCGGAACCAGCCAAGUAGCGGGAAGGAUGACAGCCCUACGGGGUGUAAACUUCUAUUAUAAAGGAAUAAAGUGAGGCACGUGUGCCUUUUUGUAUGUACUUUAUGAAUAAGGAUCGGCUAACUCCGUGCCAGCAGCCGCGGUAAUACGGUGGAUCCGAGCGUUAUCCGGAUUUAUUGGGUUUAAAGGGAGCGUAGUUGGGUUGUUAAGUCAGUUGUGAAAGUUUGCGGCUCAACCAUAAAAUUGCAAUUGAUACUGGCAGUCUUGAGUACAGUUGAGGUAGGCGGAAUUCGUGGUGUAGCGGUGUAAUGCUUAGAUAUCACGAAGAACUCCGAUUGCGAAGGCAGCUUACUAAACUGCCACUGACAUUGAUGCUCGAAAGUGUGGGUAUCAAACAGGAUUAGAUACCCUGGUAGUC
rnacentral:rRNA from 1 species